rnacentral:rRNA from 1 species
UAGGGAAUCUUCCGCAAUGGGCGAAAGCCUGACGGAGCAACGCCGCGUGAGUGAUGAAGGUCUUCGGAUCGUAAAACUCUGUUAUCAGGGAAGAACAAAUGUGUAAGUAACUGUGCACAUCUUGACGGUACCUGAUCAGAAAGCCACGGCUAACUACGUGCCAGCAGCCGCGGUAAUACGUAGGUGGCAAGCGUUAUCCGGAAUUAUUGGGCGUAAAGCGCGCGUAGGCGGUUUUUUAAGUCUGAUGUGAAAGCCCACGGCUCAACCGUGGAGGGUCAUUGGAAACUGGAAAACUUGAGUGCAGAAGAGGAAAGUGGAAUUCCAUGUGUAGCGGUGAAAUGCGCAGAGAUAUGGAGGAACACCAGUGGCGAAGGCGACUUUCUGGUCUGUAACUGACGCUGAUGUGCGAAAGCGUGGGGAUCAAACAGGAUUAGAUACCCUGGUAGUCCACGCCGUAAACGACGAGUGCUAAGUGUUAGGGGGUUUCCGCCCCUUAGUGCUGCAGCUAACGCAUUAAGCACUCCGCCUGGGAAGUACGACCGCAAGGUUG